rfam:Aureobasidium pullulans var. pullulans EXF-150 unplaced genomic scaffold scaffold_94, whole genome shotgun sequence.
GGUCUUAUAGCUUAGUAGUUAGAGCACCUACCUAAUGUCCUAUAGUAGUAUCGGACGGUUUGUACAACUGUCUUAUAUUACUAGGGCGUGCAAGAGGUCCUAGGUUUAAUUCCUAGUAAGACUA